rnacentral:rRNA from 1 species
UACGUAGGGUGCGAGCGUUGUCCGGAAUUACUGGGCGUAAAGAGCUCGUAGGCGGUUUGUCGCGUCUGCUGUGAAAUCCGGAGGCUCAACCUCCGGCCUGCAGUGGGUACGGGCAGACUAGAGUGCGGUAGGGGAGAUUGGAAUUCCUGGUGUAGCGGUGGAAUGCGCAGAUAUCAGGAGGAACACCGAUGGCGAAGGCAGUGUUCUGGGCCAGUACUGACGCUGAGGAGCGAAAGCGUGGGGAGCAAACAGG